rnacentral:lncRNA from 1 species
UCUGCCACUGUGCCAAGGUAAACAGAAGAAUGUGGUCCCAGGCAUCUGGGGGACAAAUCUUGUAGCUGCCCGUUAGCAAGCCCUUCCCACUCUUCUUUGUAGUACAUUUAGCUGCAACCUGGAGAGCUAAUCUGAGCAUUCAUGAGAAAAACAAACAAGCAGAAGAACCUUCUGGAGCUAUGCAAGAUAGAAGCAGAUUGUGUCCCGCAGCUGUGACAGCAGCUCCUGGGAGCCCACUGAGGCUGGAGAAGAGUGACUGCUGAGUGGCUUGAGCUUGGGCACAAAGCCACCCACAGGGAAGGCAGAGCCCCCAGGCUGAGGGCUGCAACAGGGGGUCCCAAGUUGUUCUGCUACAUCCCACACUGAGAGCCAUUUCUCUGAUACAUCAACACUUCUGCAGCCAAGUGCACGUUGUGAGGCUCUUCUUGCUGGCUUCCUAAUGGCCCCAUCAGUGGCCUGAAGAGAGAAGGGCUUACUCACAUUGGACGGAUUUCUGCCUUCAUUCCUGUCCAGCUGUUGUGUAUGCUGACCUUCUGUAUGUAACCAAGUACCUCAGCCGGGAUGGACCCACGUACAGCAUCUUAUCAUCUCCCAGGUUGGGAGGCUGGGCAAAGCCAAGGUGAGGGCACCAAUAGGCUGGUUG